CUGGUUUCGGGCAAACUACUGACACAGGAACGUCUGUCUUUUGCCGCCUCUCCAGAGAGAGUUUCAAACUGCUGGUCGGGGUCGAGGGGUUAGAGUUCAGAGUCGCAACUGCUCACAGACGCUACCAUCCAAGUCAGCGUCGGUGAUAUAUAUGCCUCACACACACAAAACAUUCAAGGAGAAAGCCAGCAACCCCCCACCCCUCCUCCUUGCAUCUGCUGUGCAGGUAAUCAGUAGAAAGUGUGCACACUCUGGAAUGUCACAACCAGGCAGGGGGGUUACGGUUCGGAUGGUCUCUCACAAGGCAUACUCAUCAAAUUUCUUAUACUGCUUUAUCACACUUUCACUGUGAAGUCUGAACUUAAUACGCUAUUAAUUUGCUGCGGUAUGACAGAUUCACACCUCCUUUCACACGAGCUGUCAGGAGGCCUAAUGGGUUUUUAGUCUCUCAUAGCGGGCUGCCACAUAAUAGCCAAUCUAAAAAGUCUUUCUAUAUUAGCUUCCAUCAUGAUCUAACAGGAGGGAAUUCUUCCUCCACUAUCCACCACUAUCUGCAACUAUUUUUUUUAUUACCUUUUUAGAGUACAACGUUGCAGUUUAUAAUUGAGUUAGGGUCUUACUUAUGCAUAAAGACACUUAUGCAAGUUGAGAACCUUAACCCAUGUCAACAAUAGUGCUUCUCUUCCCUCCCUUCAUCCAUCACUGUCCACUCUCUCCUCCCUCAGUCUCCCUUUCUCUUUUAUUAUUCCACAUCCAGCCCACCCCCGCGCUUUCUCCUGCUUUGUCCCGUCUCUUAAGGCUGACAUAAUAAACUGGAGCUCUUCAUCCAGGCUAAUUUCUCAACACUAACCCCUUUCUUCACCUCAGCCUACACCCGGGCUGCUACCUCUCCCCCUACUUCAUUCCCCUUCACUGCGACACCCAAAAUGUAUUUACUUUUUUUUUUUCAUGGUUUAAAUACAUGUUUUAUACAGGAAGAGCCUUUGCGGUUGUAACACUCAUGUAAAUAAUUACUGGCUUCUUUGCAAAUUACCAGCAAAUGCAAAUCUGAUGAAAGUUUACAUAUUCCCAAAAUAGAGCGUGGAUAUAAAGCUGCGAUGUUUUUAGAGGUACUAAGUGCUCAUAACUUAAGACAACAUAAUUUCAAAAGUCCUGACCUAUUCCUGUAAUAUGCUGUGGGAGUGGGGAUCACAAAAAAUAGAAUCUGUUCAUCAAAUAUAUUUUUUUUAUUCAAAAAGAUUUAAAAAGGACUUAUUGUAAUUGUAAGAGCACAUCUAAUGUUCCCAGCUCUGCCUUCAGGGGGCGACAGUGAGCUUCCAGUAGACACCAGUCUGCUAUACUAUGCAAGUAUGCAUGAAAUGCUAUGAAUGGCCAGGGCACACACACACACACACACACACACAUAUAUAAUCUUGUUCACUUGUAAUGUGACAACAUUAUGUGUAGAGUGGCCUCUCCCGUGUUAGCAGAGAAGGACUCUGUCCUGCUAUGGUGGAAAACUACUGGGGCCAAAACAGAGGAAGGUCUGUGAGAAAGAGGGGAAACUGAUGGGAGAAGUGGAAGGGGGGGAUCUGGGUGUGUGGGGGAAGUCUGGACUAUAGAUAAGGAAGCAAGAGAAUGAAGUGAAGACAAAUAACAGAGGUGCAUGGAUACCUUAACGCCAUCGCCAUGGACAAAAUAAAGACACAAGUAUAUUAGUUUCUAUUUACUAGCAUCCCAAGCUGGCUCUGUAUAUAAAGUAACAAGACAGUUAUACCAGCUGGGCCGUGAUGCUGAUAAAGGACCCUGAUUAUGAAUGGAAGAGCAGUGUGUAUCUGAUUGUGCUUCUGCACGAUGAAUCUCAUCAGGGGGAUUACAGUGAGACUGACAGAACAGAGCUUACAUCACCACGUCUUACAUUAUAUAGCGGCUGGAUGAUAAAAAUUUUGUGUUUCUAGGUCAGGUGGUCAGAUUAGAAACUGUAAUCUGACAGUUUGAGGAUGUGCUAGUAUGGAUGUGCGUUCGUACUCUGGUGGCUCUGGAGUUGGUGGAUAUGGAAUAAAGAUUAAAAAAGCGAAGAGAAGAAAUGGAAAGAGCAUAUACAAAAUAUGUAGUAAUGCUAGCUGCAGCCAUGCUAAGCAAUGAUUUCAGAUGCUAUAAAAGGAUUUUAAAUGUGUCUUCUGUAAUUUUGUCUGUUUAACAGCAACAGCUCUCGCACAAGGCAGAUAACCUAUAACUCGUAAACAGAAAUCAGAUUUGGUUCUAAUUGGUUUUGGGGUUACAAAAAUCAAAGAUUGGAUAUUGGUAACAAACUUCUAAUCGGUGCAUCUCCAGGUUGGGGUGACAUCAACCACCUUUACCACUUGGAACAUAUAGUCCAGCGGCAGACCUGCCUGCUUCAUCAGCAUCAAGGCUGAGAUAAGCAGAAUAUUACAUUACACCAGACUCCUGAUAAAUUAUAUCUGGAAGACCCAGUCCACUGAAGAUGGAUGAUGAUGGUGUUAUAACAGAGAUAAGGUGACGUAUACUAUUAAUAAGAAAAAGAGACAAAGAACGGCAAGGCCCGGGGUCAAAAUGGGAGGAAACCCAGCUGUUGGAGGGCUGGGGAGAGGAACAGACAGGUACAGAGGGAGAAAAAAAAAAAAACACUUGCACGCACAGCUGACAGAGUUGAGUGUAGUAACAGUAGGCUGGAAUGCUGUCUGUGGCUAAUAUUAACACCCCGGUCCUCCCCUUUUUAGCCCCACCCCCCCCCAGUGGACUGUGCAUGAGUGUGUGUGAGUCACACACUCGUCAAGUCUCGGCGAGGCUGCCUACGGUAAAAAGGCCACUCCUUUCUCGCUCUCUGACGUUCAGGUGGAGUCAUGUGCUGUCAGUCCAAAACAAAAAUACGCCUGGUGCCAGUUAAACCCGGUUAUGGGCCAGCGUAAGUUCAACCUCUCCCCAUGAAGCACUAAUAAGCGCUCGUGCAAGCCAAAUCACGUAGCGGAAAAACAGGACUUCACCUGUCACGUAGGGAAAAGUAGCAUGCAAACACAGUUGCGUAUCAAAUCACUGCGAGAGAUUAGGCCACAAUUGCUGAGGCUUCCUGACAAGAUGGCAAAUUAUUCAUGUCUCUAUAGUGCCCGACAUGAAUGAGCAGACUGCUGCCAUCUGGUCACUGUCCUCCUCCUGUAAGAUAAAUCUGUGCAGCCUCACAAUUAGGCCAAGGAUCAAUUAGCAUCAAUUAUCUGUGGAGCGUACAGAUGGAUCAAUGCAGUCCGAUUAACAGGAGACUGAUGGAUCACAUGGGAAUGGUUCAGGGCAGGUGGGAUGCAAUAGAAAAAGAAAUAGUGAAAAGAAUACAUUUGGAAGGAAAUAAAAUAAGACCAAGAAUUAUCCUGAUUUCCUAACAUUUGGGGCACAUUAAUAGAGGGUAUGACACUAAAAGUUGAUUCUCUGUCUAGUUUAUCUGUGUCAGUCUAUGUUUAGACAUGCAGAAGAAGGGAUUAGUCUUUUUCUAUAAUUUUUUUACCCCCUCGUUUGGUUACGCAACCCCCAUUUGACAGCAGAAAUAGUCCAGGGUCAGAUUAGUGACAGCACAAGAACUGACUUUCCAUUUGAUCGAGCCAUUCUCUUGUUUUCCUGCCCCUCUGUCCGUCUGCCCCGUCUUACUUAAACUCACUCCCAAUGAGCUCCAGUGUCCCUUCCAGGUCCGACCUUAGAUUGUAGGAACCCAUAAAGAGAAUUUCACAUUGGGACUUACCUCUAGUAAAAGUCAUAGCCAACUCAGCGUCACCGGCCCUGCUUUUGUCAAUUGGUUUCUUAAGUUUCAAGUUGGUUUCCACAGUAAUAAUUUGAAGUUUUGUUUUGUUUUUUUUUAAUAUAGAAAAUAGCACGGUGUCCAGUGGUCAUUUUAAGUAAUGUUUGACAAAUAUUUUUUCAAGUUUUGAGCACAUUUUCCAACUGUCUAAAGUUCUAGCUGAAGUGAAAGUUUAACAAAGGAUCCACUGAACAACAUUCAUUAGUUUAGAGCUAUUAAAGUAUCCUUGAAUUACGACAGUUAACGUGCCAUUUACGAUGCCAGUCUUCACUAUCUGUACAAUCAGUGAAUUAUUCAGCCUGUACAUUCUGAAUUUAAGACCCUCAUUAGGUUUCCAAGGCCAGCAGGGGGCAUCUAGGUGAUCACAAGGAUUGUCAAUAAGGCUGGCCCUGGUCUCUGUUUUAUCAGACCCUGGUUACACAUUUUCCCUCAGGUCUUACGUGAACCAGAUUUUUCCCACCUGUUCAGUCUGUCUGAGGUGAUUUAGGCACGUCAUAUUGUUGAAUCACUACAAAUGAUACAAGCACUGCACACUACAUUUACCUUCAGAUCUCCAAUUAAAUUAUCACACCCAUCCAAUUGUUUUUCCCUUUUUAACCACCCUUGUUUUCAUUGAUGAAGGGCAAUUAUAGAGUAACUAAUGUAUUCAAGACAAGACUAACUGUUCAUAAUGGUUUUGCCCUUUCUGCUUCUCGAUGAUGGGUUUUAAUCGACCACACUGGGCAGAAAAAAAAAGAAAAAAACUCAGGGACCGUCCUUCAGCUCAAUUUCAAAAUAAUACUCACUGAGAUGACUCGUACCCCCCCUCCCCACGCUAAAAGCUCAAUAAAUCGCGCUGAGAUACGUCAAGCCUGAUCGAUCCCACUGAGUGGCCGGAUAGCAUUACAUUUCUGACCUCAAAACAAAAUCAUCAGCACUAUACGUGACUCACAGUCUCUGCAGGAUAGAAAUCCUCACCGAUGGAAAAACACACUUUUUCUUUCUUGUCUUGAAUUAGGCAAUUAACUCCCACUUACUAAUAGACACGCCUUUUUCAUGACACACACACCCACACACACUCACAGGUGCAGAGCCAUGCAGACAGCAUGGGCCAAGUUCAUACUCGUCAGUCUAUUUUUUACUAUUAGAGUAUGUCUGAGUCUAUGUGUUACAGUUAAAUAUAGUAGUGAAUGUGUCCAUCUGUCGAGGCAUCCACUCUCUGAUCUAAUAUAAAUAUUUAAAACUGCUAACCACUGAAGCUCAACUUGCCACCUAUAAAACAUCAUGUCACUCGGAUUUUCCCUUUGUUUUUGCAGUUUGUUGCAAACUACUCUCAUGCUACCAAACUUUAAUGCACACUUCCCUCUGAUGACGCCAAAUGGGGCGAAAGGUUACUAAACAGGUAACUACAGAAAGCAAGUUGGCAGAUGGAGGGGAUAAAGUCCAGAGUGUUGAAUGUCUGCGAGACUGUGGCCUCAGCAGGAGAGGGGAUACCCUCGGGCAGGGAUGAACACAUGCUGAGGUGAUCUGCUAUUUCCAUAAAGCUCUCAUCUGCCCCUGUUGGCCUUUAUUGAACAGUAGAGAGGAAAUAGAGAGGAGAUAGAGGGGAAAACAUACCACCACACCUGGUAUGCAACACAGGACAACCACGAGAACUACAGCCUCGACGCAAUGAUCUAUGAAAUGAGCCACCCAGCGCCGCCAAACCUUUAAGACUA